GCUUAUCAUUUAUUUGUCCAAUGAAACGCAUUCAUGAAUAUUGAAAUCUUUUCACUUACUUGCAACAGGAAUGACGAAAUUCUGAAAAUAAGAUCUAGAUUGUGCUUUGUUAACCAUCAGGAGUAUACAUGUGUUGAAAUCAUUCAGAAGGCAGGAUCACAACAUUAAUGUAAGACUUGAAACACAUGAUUUGCGAAAUCGGUUACAGCUUUUGCAAGAAAUGGUCACAGAUGAGAAGUAUAGAUUGAGGUGGAGUUUUGUGUAUAGCUAUAGUUUCUUGGACUUUCAAGUUGUUGCAUUGUUUGUGUUUAUAUUUCAUGCAUACAAGCAAACACUUGUAGCCUACAUGUUUGUGUGAGCAUGAAGUGUUUUUUACUGACCAUCCCUUGUCGACUUUGCAUGAGAACAGAAUAAUGGAACUUUGCAG